rnacentral:rRNA from 1 species
UUUAAUUGAAGAGUUUGAUCAUGGCUCAGAUUGAACGCUGGCGGCAGGCCUAACACAUGCAAGUCGAGCGGUAACAUGCCUUCGGGUGAUGACGAGCGGCGGACGGGUGAGUAAUGCUUGGGUAUCUGCCCGAUGGAGGGGGACAACCACUGGAAACGGUGGCUAAUACCGCAUAAUGUCUACGGACCAAAGCGUGGGACCUUCGGGCCA